rnacentral:rRNA from 1 species
UUCAGCGUGUAGCGCGGUGGUCCCACCUGACCCCAUGCCGAACUCAGAAGUGAAACGCCGUAGCGCCGAUGGUAGUGUGGGGUCUCCCCAUGCGAGAGUAGGGAACUGCCAGGC